UACGGAGGGGGCGAGCGUUGUUCGGAGUUACUGGGCGUAAAGCGCGCGUAGGCGGUGCGGUAAGUCAGGGGUUAAAGGCUGCAGCUCAACUGCAGUAAGGCCUUUGAUACUAUCGUGCUAGAGUGUCAGAGAGGAUGGCGGAAUUCCCGGUGUAGCGGUGAAAUGCGUGGAUAUCGGGAGGAAGGCCGGUGGCGAAGGCGGCCUCCUGGGCCUGCACUGACGCUGAGGCGCGAAAGCGUGGGGAGCAAACAGG
rnacentral:rRNA from 1 species